rnacentral:rRNA from 1 species
CAGCCGCCGCGGUAAUACGUAGGUGGCAAGCGUUGUCCGGAAUUAUUGGGCGUAAAGGGCUCGCAGGCGGUUUCUUAAGUCUGAUGUGAAAGCCCCCGGCUCAACCGGGGAGGGCCAUUGGAAACUGGGAAACUUGAGUGCAGAAGAGGAGAGUGGAAUUCCACGUGUAGCGGUGAAAUGCGUAGAGAUGUGGAGGAACACCAGUGGCGAAGGCGACUCUCUGGUCCGUAACUGACGCUGAGGAGCGAAAGCGUGGGGAGCGAACAGGAUUAGAGACCCCUGUAGUCCCUGUCUCUUAUAC